rnacentral:rRNA from 1 species
AACGAACGCUGGCGGCAGGCUUAACACAUGCAAGUCGAACGCGUGUAGCAAUACACGAGUGGCGCACGGGUGAGUAACACGUGGAUUAUCUGCCUUUUGGUUCGGAAUAACCCCGGGAAACUGGGGCUAAUACCGGAUGGUUCCUACGGGAUAAAGAUUUAUCGCCAAAAGAUGAGUCCGCGUCCGAUUAGCUAGUUGGCGGGGUAAUGGCCCACCAAGGCUACGAUCGGUAGCUGGUCUGAGAGGACGAUCAGCCACACUGGGACUGAGACACGGCCCAGACUCCUACGGGAGGCAGCAGUGGGGAAUAUUGGACAAUGGGGGCAACCCUGAUCCAGCCAUGCCGCGUGAGUGAUGAAGGCCUUCGGGUUGUAAAGCUCUUUUGGCGGGGACGAUGAUGACGG